CCACCACCAUAUUUUCCUCAAUUUCCCCUAAUUUUCUCCUAUUGUUUCCGAAUGUUUCCUACUCCUUUCCCUUUUUUCCACGUUGACCCUGAACAUUGUGAAUUACGAUAUUAAACAUUUUAGUGUGUUUACUUUGUGUCAUUCGGAGUUUUCUAACUCACCAAAUGAGGGUUUGUCCGAGUCCCGAACGUGAACGCUCCCAUCGGAGACGCGGCGCUGUGCUCGGCGUCCCGAACUGCGCGGCCGUCGCUGUCCCGAACUUGAAGGGGUGGAGGCCUGAGCGUUUGAGGAGCGGGCUGCGGAGCGAGCUGCGUAGCCGCGCUGCCAAAGCUGAAGCCGCCGGAGCCUGGGGCGGCUGCGGGGGUGACGGUGGAGCUGCCAAGGAGAACGAGGGCGUGGCCACGGUCCCGAACGAGUGCGCCGUGGUGGGGGAGCUGACCUAGAGAGGGAGCGGCGGCUGUUUGGGGCGGGGCAGAGGCCGGGGCGCCAAACGAGAACGGUUUGGGAGGUUCAGCCGCAGAACUGGACUCAAGCGACGACUUCCCAAAGGUGAAAGACGGCUGCGAGGGCUGGGAGGAGGUCGUCCCGAAAGUCAGAGCGGACGGGGCGACGGUGGUCGUCCCGAACGUCGACUGUGAAGACGCCGCAGUCCCAAAACCAACAGCAGAUUGCGCGGUGGUGGUCGUCCCGAAAGCAGGAGCGGCCUGUGAGGAUGUGGUCGACCCGAAGGUGAGCGCAGUAGACGGGGCGGCGGUGCUCGUCCCGAAGCCAAGAACCGACUGCGAGGUGGUCGUCCCGAAAGUCGACUGCGAAGACGCCGUCGUCCCAAAGCCCAGAGCGGAUUGCGCGGUGGAGGUCGUCCCGAAGGUGGGAGGAGGCGCCAGCUGCGAGAAGCCGUGGUCGUCCAAAGCUUAUCGCAGACGGGGCGGAGGUGGUCGCCCCGAAAGCGGACUGCGAAGACGUGGUGGUGGUCGUCCCGAAGCCUCCGAAAGCAGCAGCAGCCGCGCCCGUGUUCUGGGCCGGCGCCGCCUGUCCAAAGGCGAUCUGAGAGGAGCCUGAGGAGAACUGCAGCGGGGUCCCAGACGAGCUCCCGAACAUGCUGCUGCUGCUGCUGAGGGGCGCGGCGCCAGACACGGGGGCGGGCACCGUGCUGGGGGGGAGAGCGAAGCCGAGGCGCCGAACAACGAGGCGGAGGAGGCGGUAGAUGUGGAGGAGGCGCCGGGAGCAGCACCAAAAUGGGCUUAAAGUUCUGCUGAGGUUUGGGUUCUGCGGCGCUGGAGGAGGUGGGGAUGUUGAACAUGGGUUUGAAGCCUGAGGGCGGGACGGCGCUGGAGGGGGCGGCGCUGGAGGGGCGGUAACUGUGGGGAGGCUGAACAGGCCCGGGGCAAGAGCAGGAGGCUGCGUGGAGGAGGCUGUAGAAGGAGGCGCUGAAGAGGCAGAGGCUGGGGGGACAGACGUCUGCAGGGACAGACCGGGCUGGACCGGAGCCGAGGAGGCCGUCCCUGUGACAACAGGACAGAUGUUAGUUUCAGGCGAGAUACGGCAGCUGAAUGUGGACAAAAUUAAGAGAUGUCCAUUUGACUUUCGCGGUUGCAUUACUGACAUAAAUAUGAGGAAAAAAGCAUAGCAAG
ensembl:lncRNA